rnacentral:ncRNA from 1 species
UCGUGGGUGACUGCGAAUCUGAAGGAAGCCGAAGGCAAAAUGUUGGCCUGACGAACAGGAAGCGGAUAGAGGCGGCGCAGCGGGGUAAGAAGGCCAGUAUCUUCAAAGCCCGAUACUUGCACGGAACGCUGCGACGUAGAUCCGACAGGCAUAAGCAGGAAGGUCGCGCGA